rnacentral:misc_RNA from 1 species
GGGCAAGAUAGGAAUAGAAAUACUAAAAUGCGUCAUAUAAUUAGCUUAUAUUUACUAUAGUCGAGUACACAGAAGCUAAAGUAUUAUUUAUAGGCUCUUAAACCACAUGAUUCACACUGAAAGUGCUUGGUAUCUAAGACGUGGAUAACUCUUAAAUUCACCAGCAAUAGCAGACAACAACCAAUUGAUAUAUUUUCCGACUAGCUUGAGAUACUUGACUAAUAUGACAAUAUCUUCCUCUGUCAUCCCUAUCUUAACAGAAGGAAAAAGCCUCAGUACCGCAACAAACAAUUCUUAAAGACUAAUGAAUGUGGGUAAACAAAAUUAUACCAUGAAGGAAGAUCUUAA